UCCUAUUCGGCCAUCUUGGCUCCUCCCUCCAUCGGUAAACCAACUCUUUAACAAAGGGGAGCUGAGGCUCUGUGGCUGGAACCUGGGACUUAGGCCUGAAUUAAUCAGAGCAAUGCACUCCACUGGCCCUGUGUGGGUGAGCACAUGGAUGGCAUGCUGAUCACAUUUCCAGGCCACCAUGAGGCAGAAGUAGAGCUAAUAGACUGGAUGAAAGAAGAAUGAGCCAGAGCAAUGCCGACAGUCUGCAAAGCCAGGUCAAGUUAGGCAACCUGGAGCAUAACAGAGAAAUGCAAAGUCCAGCCCUUGGGUCCAGACAAGUUACACAACGAUGGCAGAUGUUCUUGAUGAAUGGAUAAUGUUGUCUUUAGAUGUUCUCAACCAUCCUGGGCACGUGAAAACCCACCCGAUGGCUCUCAUCAAGUGGAAAAGAAGAAGGGGAAAUCCGAGCAAAAAGAUAUUACAGACUCGUCUUCCUGAGACACGUGCACCUGCUAAGGGAGUAGCAUUAAGGAAAUCUACAAAGUCAGCCUCUGAUUAUCAAGGUUCUUCCUUAAGGAGAAAAGGAAAAAAGCAAAAGCAAAAUAACACAUUUACUUCAAAGAACUCCUGUCUGAUUGAGCGAAGGAAAAGUAGCCUCAUUGCUUUGAUCCUUUCACUGAGCAAAACAACAUGAAAAGCGAAGACAAGGCUCAAAAUAUGGGCUUUUGUUGAGCGCAUCAUUAGGAGUGUUUAUUGGCUGCUGCAAACACACAUCCCAGCUCCAGAGCACGCGCAUGAAGUGGAGAUUCGUGGAGCCCUCGAGCCAGUUCUUUGGUUUUCAGGGCCUCUGCUCCUGUGGUCACCUGAGGACUGACUCAAGCUGAUGGAAGCCUUGACAUGUGCUCCCACCAUCUCCCUGGCAAGUGAAGAAGGUGUGAUGACUCAUGGCUUGGCUCUCUAAAGUUCAACCUUCUAUACACAAACCAUCGGUCACAGACAGUUAUCAGUUAUAUGGCCACCCUAAUUUCAAAAGAGAGAAGUACAAUCCCACCAUGUGCUCACAGAGGGGAGAACUUUUAAUGCUGCACUCUCAGCAAGGAUGCUUUUCCUUAAUUGAUGGGCACUUCCUCAACUGAACCAUCACAGGGGAUGCAGAAUGACAACAAAGAGAAGACCCAGUGAGAGGAACAAGCUACCUCAACCCGGAGUGGUGCUCCUGAAAGUCUCUACAGAAGAAUCCAGAACCAGUAUCCCUCGUUCAUUCAACACCUAAUUACCGAGGUCCUUCUCUGAGACAGGCCCUGGGUUAGCUCAGAGAUAGUUCGUAAAGACCAUUGCUCAUGGUCUUUCUUCUGAGGGGAUGUUCCUAAAAUUCCAGGAGCUCAGUCAUGUUGAAGUUCUAUGGUGUGUGAAAAAUCACAGGCCUUGGAAUCAUGCGACCUGGGCUCCAUUAUUGCCUGAAUGACGCUAACCCAUCAUUUCUCCUCUCGGCCUCAGUUUCUUCCUCUGUGAAACAGCAUGGCAACAGUAACUUUACAUAGAAUUGUGAGGAUUCAGCAGGGUGACCAUAAAAAGUGCUUCACAUAGAGCUUGAU
rnacentral:lncRNA from 1 species